AGUGAACGCUGGCGGCGUGCUUAACACAUGCAAGUCGCACGAAGGUUUCGGCCUUGGUGGCGGACGGGUGAGUAACGCGUAGGAAUCUAUCCAUGGGUGGGGGAUAACACUGGGAAACUGGUGCUAAUACCGCAUGAUACCUGAGGGUCAAAGGCGCAAGUCGCCUGUGGAGGAGCCUGCGUUCGAUUAGCUAGUUGGUGGGGUAAAGGCCUACCAAGGCGAUGAUCGAUAGCUGGUUUGAGAGGAUGAUCAGCCACACUGGGACUGAGACACGGCCCAGACUCCUACGGGAGGCAGCAGUGGGGAAUAUUGGACAAUGGGGGCAACCCUGAUCCAGCAAUGCCGCGUGUGUGAAGAAGGUCUUCGGAUUGUAAAGCACUUUCGACGGGGACGAUGAUGACGGUACCCGUAGAAGAAGCCCCGGCUAACUUCGUGCCAGCCGCCGCGGUAA
rnacentral:rRNA from 1 species